UUAACUAAAAUAGUGUUGCUAAUAAGCCCUUUUGUAGUAGUGUGAACCUGCUAACCUGUUAAUAUGUGCUAUCUACAAUUUUAGUUAAGUGUUAUAGUUUUUCCAAAAGAAAGCUACAAUUUGUCCUGGUAGUAUUUUUUUUUUUUUGCACACCUUGCAUAUGAAUGUUCUCUUUUAUUGUUUAUGUGAUCACUUCUGUUAGUAUCUGCUUUUGUUUCUACCAUGCAUGUUUAUGAAGUGUUGAUAUCAUUUUCAUUUAUUUUCCAAUUGUGUUGGCAUGAUGUUCCUUGAAUUCCUUUUGAAGUGGGCAUUUUACCCUUUCAUUUACAACAAUAAACGUGUCUAUACAUCUUUAAUCUGGCAAAGGGUGUUGGCUAUGAUUGCAGUGUUCCUAGCUUAUUCUUUGCAGUGUUCCUCAUUUUAAGAUGAUAUUAUAAUGAAUUAAUCAUUACAAAAAUAACAUGCAUGUCUGCACCCACACACGAACUAUGUUGCCAUGUCUGAAACUUCAGUUUACUCUAGCAUAGAACACUUAUGUCUCUGUCUAUAAAUCACAACUAUAUAACUCUUUAUGUUAAUCACGACACUGAUGCAUGACAUUUACUGGACAACUUACUUAAUGUGAAGUUAUUAAUCUCUUUCAUAAUUUCUACAUUUUUCUUCUGAGACACUGAUGCAUGACAUUUACUGAUGCACGACACUUAUGUCUGCACCCACACGCUCAUGUUAAAACUCCUUGGCUUGAGCUAACAUGUCCAGCGCAAUUGCCUUGUGCAUUACUUCUUGAUCCUAUAUCAAAGAUGUCUUAACCUGAAGUACUCCAGAAUCUUCUUUUUUCAUGUUGACUAUUUUGACGUUUCCCUCUUGUUAACUGAUCUUACUUGUUUCUUGCAUGUUGGUUUAGUUUCGAGCUCUAUCUGAUCAGUUUUACCGCACUCCUGAACACCACAAGUUUGUACGACAACAAGUCAUCACUCAGGUGAUGCACGAAGAUUUCAAUGAAGGCAUCAUUCAAGUUCAAGCCAAGAAGAAAUCCAGCUUGAAUUAUUAUGCUUAAUAGAGUGAGCGCAUUUUGUUAUGGACAGUGCAGAGUUUAAAGCACAUGGUUGCUGCGACGAACCCUAAGACCUGUUUCCUACCAGGGACCGAUCCAUAUAUACCCAGUUCAUGUGGAGCUCAUGGCCCGACUUUAUACAGAAGUCUAUGUAUAACUUUAGCUUUGUAUUUUCACUUAACAUUGUAGACGUCUUUAGUAUUUUCGUUAGUUUUUUUUAAAUCUGGGUUGAAAUAUAGUUCAUCUGGAGUUUUGUUGUCGCCAUGACCUUGUACUGAUAUUAUGUGGCACCGCUGUUUGUUUCCAAGUUUCAACCUAUAAUUGAAAUGUCCAUUAUUGCCAA